UUUCCGUAGGUGAACCUGCGGAAGGAUCAUUACAGAGUUCAUGCCCUCACAGGUAGAUCUCCCACCCUUGAAUAUUUAUACCUUAGUUGCUUUGGCAGGCCGUGGAAACACCAUGGGCUCCGGCUUAUGCGUGCCUGCCAGAGGAAACAAACUCUGUUUUUAGUGAUGUCUGAGUACUAUAUAAUAGUUAAAACUUUCAACAACGGAUCUCUUGGUUCUG
rnacentral:misc_RNA from 1 species